rnacentral:rRNA from 1 species
CUUUCGCCCGCCGGCGACCGGCGCACGGGUGAGUAACACGUAUGCAACCUGGCCGCCACAGGGGGAUAACCCGCGGAAACGCGGCCUAAUACCCCGUGACGCCACCGGAGGGCAUCCUCCGGUGGCCAAAGGAGCGAUCCGGUGGCGGAUGGGCAUGCGGCGCAUUAGGCAGUAGGCGGGGUAACGGCCCACCUAACCGACGAUGCGUAGGGGUUCUGAGAGGAAGGUCCCCCACACUGGUACUGAGACACGGACCAGACUCCUACGGGAGGCAGCAG